rnacentral:rRNA from 1 species
UUGAAGAGUUUGAUCAUGGCUCAGAUUGAACGCUGGCGGCAGGCCUAACACAUGCAAGUCGAACGGAAACAUGUCUAGCUUGCUAGAUGAUGUCGAGUGGCGGACGGGUGAGUAAUACUUAGGAACAUGCCUUUGGGUGGGGGAUAACUAUUGGAAACGAUAGCUAAUACCGCAUAACGUCUACGGACCAAAGGGGGGAGCUUGCUCCUCUCGCCCAAAGAGUGGCCUAAGCGAGAUUAGCUUGUUGGUGGGGUAAAGGCUCACCAAGGCGACGAUCUCUAGCUGUUCUGAGAGGAAGAUCAGCCACACUGGGACUGAGACACGGCCCAGACUCCUACGGGAGGCAGCAGUGGGGAAUAUUGCACAAUGGAGGAAACUCUGAUGCAGCCAUGCCGCGUGUGUGAAGAAGGCCUUCGGGUUGUAAAGCACUUUCAGUUGUGAGGAAAGCUUGUUGGUUAAUACCCAACAGGUAUGACGUUAGCAACAGAAGAAGGACCGGCUAACUCCGUGCCAGCAGCCGCGGUAAUACGGAGGAUGCAAGUGUUAUCCGAAAUUAUUGGGCGUAAAGAGUCUGUAGGUGGCUUUCAAAGUCUGAUGUUAAAUGUCAGGGCUUAACCCUGAACCUGCAUUAGAAACUAGUAAGCUUGAGUAGAGUCGAAGUAGAAGGAAUUUCCAGUGAAGCGGUGAAAUGCGUAGAUAUUGGAAGGAACACCAAUGGCGAAAGCAUUCUACUAGGCUCUUACUGACACUGAGAGACGAAAGCGAGGGUAGCAAAUGGGAUUAGAUACCCCAGUAGUCCUCGCUGUAAACGAUGGAUACUAAACAUUGCGUGCAUCGAUCCGCGUGGUGUUAUAGCUAACGCGUUAAGUAUCCCGCCUGGGGAGUACG